rnacentral:misc_RNA from 1 species
GAUGAAGAACGUAGCGAAAUGCGAUAAGUAGUGUGAAUUGCAGAAUUUAGUGAAUCAUCGAAUCUUUGAACGCACAUUGCGCCCUUUGGUAUUCCUUAGGGCAUGCCUGUUCGAGCGUCAUUUAAACCUUCAAGCUAAGCUUGGUGUUGGGUGACUGUCCGCUUCACGGCGGACUCGCCUCAAAAUUAUUGGCGGCCGGUACAUUGGCUUCGAGCGCAGCAGAAACGCGAACUCGGGCCCGUCGUAUUGGCUCCCAGAAGCUAUCUUCACAAUUUUGACCUCGGAUCAGGUAGGGAUACCCGCUGAACUUAAGCAUAUCAAUAAGCGGAGGA